rnacentral:tRNA from 1 species
GCCUCCGUAGCUCAGCGGUCAGAGUUCUCGCCUUGUAAGCGAGCGGUCGAGGGUUCGACUCCCUCCGGGGGCU